rnacentral:rRNA from 1 species
AGAGUUUGAUCAUGGCUCAGGAUGAACGCUGGCGGCGUGCCUAAUACAUGCAAGUCGAGCGAACAGACGAGGAGCUUGCUCCUUUGACGUUAGCGGCGGACGGGUGAGUAACACGUGGGUAACCUACCUAUAAGACUGGGAUAACUUCGGGAAACCGGAGCUAAUACCGGAUAAUAUUUCGAACUGCAUGGUUCGAUAGUGAAAGAUGGCUUUGCUAUCACUUAUAGAUGGACCUGCGCCGUAUUAGCUAGUUGGUAAGGUAACGGCUUACCAAGGCAACGAUACGUAGCCGACCUGAGAGGGUGAUCGGCCACACUGGAACUGAGACACGGUCCAGACUCCUACGGGAGGCAGCAGUAGGGAAUCUUCCGCAAUGGGCGAAAGCCUGACGGAGCAACGCCGCGUGAGUGAUGAAGGUCUUCGGAUCGUAAACCUCUGUUAUUAGGGAAGAACAAACGUGUAAGUAACUGUGCACGUCUUGACGGUACCUAAUCAGAAAGCCACGGCUAACUACGUG